AAAGGUCUUAGUAUGACUAAAACUUGAAGUAUGGUGUAUGACACCAUAUAAUUUAAAUGAAUAGACUUAAUGAAACAAGUCACACAUUUCAAAUAGAAUUACUUGAGAAGGAAUUCUUUUGUGUAUGAUUCAUUUAAGUUAAGUGGGAGCAAUAUGCAUUCAAAUCAAGAAAAUAUAAUUGUUAUUUUUUAAUGAAUGCUAAGUUACAACAAGGCCAGGGGGAGUGAUGUCAGAAUUUGAGCAACAAGAUGUGAAUAAAGUCUAUUUGAUAGACUUGAUAAAACAUAGAUGUUACUCGAGAAAUGACAAAACAUGACACGGUCAAUUUUGAAGUAUAGACUUCAAAUUGGACUUAUUGAUAUAGCAAGGCUAUCUCAAGGAUAUUAAAUAGGGAAAUUAAAUCUCAAAUGUUGUAGAUUUAAGAAAGCAUUUUCCUAUGUGAUAGGAAAUCACUUUCAUAACCCUUAUAAUGAAUGUGUCACAAAAUAAAAAAAGGGACACAUGUAUGGACUUGUGAAGUAGAUAUCCAAAAGUGAAGAACCACAGGGGUUGUCACUAUAAGAUAUUACUAAAUCCCAGGAUCAGAACCAAAGCAACUGAAAGAGUAUUAUUGCCUUUAAAGAAAGAAACAUCAGAGUGGGACUCUGGAAGCGUGCAUUCACUUAGGUUGUUAACCAAAGUGAAAAUAAGCCAUUUUAACAAAUGGAACUUCAUAAUGGAUGAAGUACUAAUCAUAUGAAUGAAUUGUUAGUAUUGUACUACAAUGGUCUCAAGGUUGGAGCAAAGUUUGUAUAAAGUAUACAAACGAAAUAUAUGACGAUAUAUUGUUUUAGAAACUGCUUCAAAAAGGUGUUUUGAAUGAAGGGGUUCUUAUAGAACCAAUGAUUGAAUCCAAACCAUAAGGUCGUUAGUAGGAUACUACGACGUAAUGGGGCGAUAGCUCAAGCCAUGGAAUCAAGGUCCCAUCAAAGUAUUCGAACACAAGAAAGAGACAUCAUCAAAUGUUUUGGAAAAAUUUGAUAAGUAAAUCCCUUUUAAAUAAUAAAAGGGAUUAAUACAUAACCGAGUUAACCUACGAGCAUAAGCUCUCUCAACUAGCAUGUAUAAGAUACACUGGUGAUUGACUUUAGUGCAAGUGGGAGAUUGUUGGAAAUAUGCCGUGAAAGUCAAUCUUUGGAAAAAAAACCUUUCAGGACAAAUGAAUGCAUGUAUAGAUGAUUCUUAUACAUCAAAUGGCAAAGAUACUAAUUAGAACUAUCUCAAUAAACGAUAUAUGUCCUAAAUAGUGAAUCCAUGGACAAUGGAUCGAUUGAAGAAGUAAUCUAAUGAUGUUAGACUAGAGAGACCUUCUUCACAUAACCAUAAUGUCCAAAAAGGUUCUUGGUCAUUGGAUUGUCGGAGGGAUACUGACAAUGCUUAGACUGGUACAUACUGUGUCUGCUUCAAAUGGAAGGAUGGAAAGUCUCAUCCCAUUCGUGUGGUGACAUUAAGACAAGUAUGUAGGUGCUCAUUAAGGGAAUGAGUUCACUGAACACAAUCGAACGAUAGUACUUGCAUGGAGGUCUACUCACAUGUCAAGCAAGUAACUCUAAUGGUUGGAAUAAUGUAAGUAGUCCUUUGAUCUGAGGCAUCGUCGUUGUCUUGUGGCUAAGUACUUAAUCUUUGAUUAUGUCAAAGUCACCCCAUUCGUGGGUGUCCACGGCAUAAUUGGAGUUAAGCCACUUAGUCAUGAAGGCAAGUGAAUGCGCAACAAGGAAUCUCUAAUCCUCGAUAAGAGAGGAAGAAUACUCUAAGAUAUGAUUCGGGAAUCUUAGGCCGCAGUAUCAAGCGUAAUAAAGGAAAGUGUUCCUAUACGACUCAAUUGAAUCAUAUAAGAAGGAAUAAUCACAUUAGGGGUUUGACAUGAUAUAUCCAUACCCUAGUAAUGUGAUUGAGAGUAUUGUUUUAGAGAAUGAUCGAAUUACAUUGUAAUUCCAACUGAGUAGGUUCUCUGAACAACUUCUACAUUAGCUUGGGUAGCUAUGAUAUAUGGUUAGAUGUCACUCAUAGCUUGUGAGUUCAUCUAGAUGAUUAAAUGUAGUCAUCAAAGAAGAAGGUGAAUUAAAAGGAAGUUUUAAUUCACUAAGUGAUUGAAUUAAAUAUAAUCAAUUGGAUUGAUGUCAAUCACCUCACUACCUUACUAAUUAGAACCUAAAAUGAUUGUACACCGAUACACUCUUGUGGUGAGUAAUUAAUGGAUGAUGGAAAUAAUUAAUUGGAUUAAUUAAGUGUUGUGAUUAAUUUAGAAAGUCUAAAGAAAUCAUAAAAGCGAUAAAAGAUCGUUUUGGGCUUAAAGAAACGUUAAGGGUUUAAAUGGGCCCAUUAGGCCUAAACCCAUUGGGCUUUUAUUCAAGCAUUGGAUGACUAGAAAUAAAUAAAAGCCCAAAGCCCAAACCAACACAAAGGGGCCGGCCAUUUAAAGUGGAGAGGGAGAGAUAUUAAGUCAAGUUGUUGACUAGGUUUCUUUUUGUCUAUAUAAGGAACUUUAUAGAGAUUUAUUCCUUAGGGUUUUUGUAUGUUUAAAACAACAAAGAGGAAAAAGAAAUAGCUCUCUCAAAAACUACACAAAGGCUGGCCACCUUAAGGGUGAUUUAGCUAAUCCUUUUUCACUCUUUUGGUUAUUCCUCCAUCCAUCUCACUACACUAAUGGGUGUGGAUCUUUAGAGGUCUUCUCCUUUGGAGACUAAAGGAGAACCUAGGAGCACUCUUACCAACAAAGUGGAGGAGGCAAGGAGGGAGGCCAGGCUCAAGAAGUUCAAGGAGCAAAGGGCUUGGAGGUGGUCCAUCCUUGGUCUAAAAUCUAGAUCAAGAGGUAUAGAUCUAUUCCUUCACUUUGUUCUUAACUUAAAUAUUUUAGAUGCAUUAUAUAUAAACCUAUGAACCUUGAAGGGGAUUUGCAUGACUAUAGCUUUGAUAUUAUUUGAUAACAUGCUUCCGUUGCUUUUGUAUAUUAAUUUUGAAUUGUAUAUGCAUGCUAGUCAUUUCGAAAUCCCAUAUUAAUCUCUAAGAUUUCCCUUCACCCUUGGCCACAUCAAUCUUGGUUUGGGCUGUUUUCAUGAAAGGUCUUCCAAGUAAGAUUGUCAAUGGUGUAGAGUGGGCUGAAUCCUUCAUCUCAAGCACAUAAAAAUCUGCUAGAAAAAUCAAUGGUCUACCUGCACCAAUGAUAGAAGCAUAUUUAUGCGAAUUAGUGAUGCGUAAAAUAACUAAACACACAAAUUAAACCCUCUUGUUGACAAUUAGUAUGGAUAAGUAGGGAUCGUUCUUAAACCGGGGAUUAGGAGGGAUUGCUAAAACACUCUAAACUGACUCAAAUAUGUAAAACAAAAUUUAAAACACUAAACUAGACUCAAAGAAUUGAUGUGAAAAUUAACUAGCACUCAAAUUAAACCCUCUUUUUAUCAAUUGUAGCAAUGUAUGUAAGUAGGGAUCGUUCUAGACCGGGGAUUAGGAGGGAUUGCAAAAUCACUUGGAAUUGACUCAAAUAUGUAAAAACAAGUUUAAAAUACUAAACUAGACUCAAAGAAUGCAAAACUAAACUCUAAAACACCAAAACAAACCAAAAGACUCAAAACAGCCCCAAAACACUCAAAAUUGCCUUUAAGAACACAAUCUGGGCAGUUUUGAACAAUUGACACAAAAUUGGACGAAAAUUGGUUUUAACUUGACCUAAGACACUUAAAAACACAAACUAAACACUUACUAACUAAUUUUGACACUUUAAAACA
rnacentral:lncRNA from 1 species